ACAUUGAACUUUCGGACCAGGAGGCGCGAUCGGAGGCUGCCCAGAAGCUUAAGAUUGGUAUUUAUUUUGCGACUUGGUGGGCUCUGAAUGUGGUGUUCAAUAUAUACAACAAGAAGGUUUUGAACGCUUUUCCUUAUCCUUGGCUCACCUCAACUCUGUCGCUCGCAACUGGGUCGCUGAUGAUGUUGAUCUCCUGGGCUGUGAGGAUCGCUGAACCGCCCAAGACCGAUUUGGACUUCUGGAAAACCCUCUUUCCUGUGAGAAAAAUUAAAUUCUUCUUUUUAAAGAAUUUGGAUUUGGGGUUUUUGGCGUUUUGUUUUAGUUCUGAUUAGAAAAGGAAAUCGAAUUUUGAUUCUUUUCCAUUGUUUCCGAUUUUUAAAAUAAUGGAAAACCCAACUGGUGACGAGCCAAACAAUGAAGCCCAGCUGGGUGGAAGUUCUGGUUUUGCCUAAAUUUAAAAUUCUUGUCUUUUUCCUGAAGUUUUUCCGCAGACAAACAAAGCUUUAGUUUAAUUUGAAUGGCUUUUGUUGUGUAGGUUGCAGUAGCUCAUACAAUUGGUCAUGUAGCAGCAACUGUUAGCAUGUCAAAAGUUGCAGUUUCCUUCACCCACAUCAUCAAGAGUGGUGAGCCUGCUUUCAGUGUCUUGGUUUCAAGGUUUCUCUUAGGCGAGACCUUUCCGGUGCCGGUCUACUUCUCACUUCUGCCAAUUAUUGGAGGCUGCGCACUGGCUGCUGUCACUGAACUCAACUUCAAUA
rnacentral:lncRNA from 1 species